rnacentral:rRNA from 1 species
AUGUGGAUUAAUUCGAUGCAACGCGAAGAACCUUACCUGGGCUUGACAUACACCAGAGUCGGCGCAGAGAUGCGUUUUCCCUUUGUGGUUGGUGUACAGGUGGUGCAUGGUUGUCGUCAGCUCGUGUCGUGAGAUGUUGGGUUAAGUCCCGCAACGAGCGCAACCCUUGUCUUAUGUUGCCAGCACGUGAUGGUGGGGACUCAUGAGAGACUGCCGGGGUUAACUCGGAGGAAGGUGGGGAUGACGUCAAAUCAUCAUGCCCCUUAUGUCCAGGGCUUCACACAUGCUACAAUGGUCGGUACAACGCGUGUGCGACACUGUGAGGUGAAGCUAAUCGCUCUAAAGCCGGUCGUAGUUCGGAUUGGGGUCUGCAACUCGACCCCAUGAAGUCGGAGUCGCUAGUAAUCGCAGAUCAGCAACGCUGCGGUGAAUACGUUCCCGGGCCUU